rnacentral:rRNA from 1 species
GGACCUGACUGCUAUCGGAUUGAUACUAAGCCAUGCUAGUCUUUGUAGUAAUACAAGGCAUACGGCUCAGUAACGCGUAGUCAACCUACCCUAUGGACGGGGAUAAUCUCGGGAAACUGAGCAUAAUGCCCGGUAGACCACUUCUCCUGGAAUGGUUAGUGGUUAAAAUGAUUCGUCGCCAUAGGAUGGGACUGCGGCCUAUCAGCUUGUUGGUGAGGUAAUGGCCCACCAAGGCGAUUACAGGUACGGGCUCUGAGAGGAGAAGCCCGGAGAUGGGUACUGAGACAAGGACCCAGGCCCUAUGGGGCGCAGCAGGCGAGAAAACUUUGCAAUGUGCGAAAGCACGACAAGGUUAAUCCGAGUGAUUUCUGCUAAAGGAAUCUUUUGUUAGUUCUAAAUAUACUAGUGAAUAAGGGGUGGGCAAGUUCUGGUGU